rnacentral:rRNA from 1 species
GACGAACGCUGGCGGCGCGCCUAACACAUGCAAGUCGAACGAGCGAGAGAGAGCUUGCUUUCUCGAGCGAGUGGCGAACGGGUGAGUAACGCGUGAGGAACCUGCCUCAAAGAGGGGGACAACAGUUGGAAACGACUGCUAAUACCGCAUAAGCCCACGGUGCCGCAUGGCACAGAGGGAAAAGGAGCAAUCCGCUUUGAGAUGGCCUCGCGUCCGAUUAGCUGGUUGGUGAGGUAAUGGCCCACCAAGGCGACGAUCGGUAGCCGGACUGAGAGGUUGAACGGCCACAUUGGGACUGAGACACGGCCCAGACUCCUACGGGAGGCAGCAGUGGGGAAUAUUGCACAAUGGGGGAAACCCUGAUGCAGCGACGCCGCGUGGAGGAAGAAGGUCUUCGGAUUGUAAACUCCUGUUGUUGAGGAAGAUAAUGACGGUACUCAACAAGGAAGUGACGGCUAACUACGUGCCAGCAGCCGCGGUAAAACGUAGGUCACAAGCGUUGUCCGGAAUUACUGGGUGUAAAGGGAGCGCAGGCGGGAAGACAAGUUGGAAGUGAAAUCCAUGGGCUCAACCCAUGAACUGCUUUCAAAACUGUUUUUCUUGAGUAGUGCAGAGGUAGGCGGAAUUCCCGGUGUAGCGGUGGAAUGCGUAGAUAUCGGGAGGAACACCAGUGGCGAAGGCGGCCUACUGGGCACCAACUGACGCUGAGGCUCGAAAGUGUGGGUAGCAAACAGGAUUAGAUACCCUGGUAGUCCACACUGUAAACGAUGAUUACUAGGUGUUGGAGGGAUUGACCCCUUCAGUGCCGCAGUUAACACAAUAAGUAAUCCACCUGGGGAGUACGACCGCAAGGUUGAAACUCAAAGGAAUUGACGGGGGCCCGCACAAGCAGUGGAGUAUGUGGUUUAAUUUGACGCAACGCGAAGAACCUUACCAAGUCUUGACAUCCUGCGACGGUGCUGGAAACAGUACUUUCCUUCGGGACGCAGAGACAGGUGGUGCAUGGUUGUCGUCAGCUCGUGUCGUGAGAUGUUGGGUUAAGUCCCGCAACGAGCGCAACCCUUAUGGUCAGUUACUACGCAAGAGGACUCUGGCCAGACUGCCGUUGACAAAACGGAGGAAGGUGGGGAGGACGUCAAAUCAUCAUGCCCUUUAUGACUUGGGCUACACACGUACUACAAUGGCGUUAAACAAAGAGAAGCAAGACCGCGAGGGGGAGCAAAACUCAGAAACAACGUCCCAGUUCGGAGUGCAGGCUGCAACUCGCCUGCACGAAGUCGGAAUUGCUU